CCUUUUUCAUGUGGGAUCAUGUUCCAGCACCCUGGUGGAAUGAAACAUGUUGCACGGUGGUUGAGGGAGUUAUAUAGUUCUAUUUCUCUGUCAUUACUGGAACUGCCUUCAUCAGCACCUCCCUGUGAGUCCAGGUUAUGGCUCAGUCCAUCUACUGCUUCCGUUACACUUGAGCGCUUCAGAGCCUCUCCUAACACCACAUUACCGGCCAGACAUACUCCAUCUCCCCAGUCCCAGCAUGCACUGCACCAGGGCCACAGGUCCAGCUCCAGUGAUCCUCGGUGUGAGAGCAUUAAGGAGAGACUGAAGAAGAUCCCACAUCCCUGCAUGCCGACUGGUGCUGGGAAAUCCUCUCUCCUCUACUGACCUCCAAGCAUUCUGAGCUCAGCUGAAAUGGCCAAAUGGUGUGCUGGGCUGCUGGCAGACUGGGCAGUGGAGAGGAUUGUCGGAGCAUGUCUCAUACCUCUCUUUGUGCACUGCACCCCAGGGCAGAAGAGUCAACCUGGCCUUGACACUCUGUGAUGCUAAUCCUCUCAUAUCCCCCAAUGAGGGCAAGGAUGAAGGGAAAGAUGACGUGUGGACAGAGAGAGAUGGAGGAGAGCGAGAGCAUACGGUUGGAUAAUGACUUCACAACAUUGAGGACAUCAAGAGCCAUGUCUGUUCAUUAAAAUAAAGAAAGCAAAGCAUGAACAUAUUGUAAAAUAUUGCUAUUUUCUGUUUAAUGCACAUUUGGUGUG